AACGUCGUGGUUCGUGAUCCAUCCCACGUAAAAAAACUAGGAGGCU
rnacentral:ncRNA from 2 species